rnacentral:ncRNA from 1 species
AAAGCGUUAACCGAAAAGCUUAUAGAGUAGGGA